AGUGUUGCCAUGCCAUGCCUGUACACAGCUAUUUGGUCAUGCCUUGCCUGCUCAUGUUUUUGCCAGAGCAUACCACCAGGAGAUGGGCAGAGUGAAGGAAAGGGGGAAGACAUACAGCAAAGGCUCACAAGGCAACAUGAACACAGACCUUUUAAAGAGACCAUGUAACCAAACCAGCAUGCUAUUGGACUGUGGGAAGAGAAUGUAAACUCCAUGCAGAAGGACCCCAAGCCCGGAUUGAAACCCAGGUCUCUCUUGCUGCUAGGUGACAAUGCUAACAACUGGGCCACCUUGUAGCUCUGCCACCAUGCAAUCCUACAGUAAUUGGACCUCUAGAAAACAGACAAACAGCAGUCAAUGAGGUCUAUUAGGUUUUGAUAAAUAUUCUAAAUCCAAUAAACUGUACUCUUGUUUGUG